AGAUGUGGAUAAGGAUAUUCUGCCAUGCUUCACAUCAAAAGAAGAUGCCAUGCCUCAUUUUGCAGUGUCCAAAGGUCCAAAUGUAAAAGGAAUAUUUUAUACCCUUCCGUACUACAACGUGACAUACCGUCAAACUUCUUUAUAUUGAACUAGAUUGGACUGUUAAAAAACUUCAAGAUAUCCAAGUAUUUGAGAUAUCGAGGAACAAGAUCCUGUUCCACUCUCUGCUUUGGACACAGUAUAUCUUGGGGUCAUUUUAGAUGAAUGAAGAGCCAAUCAGGGUCGAUAGUGCAAGGUCAUCAAUGAUGCGGGAGGAGGCUGGAAAGCCUGAAGAAAAUCCACAUGUCCAAAUGGAUGACUCCUUUCGCACACAGCCACUGUCGAUCACAGGGAUCCAACUCGGAUGAGCUUCUUGGUACGCUGAUCCUUGACAUUUGAGGAACCUUCCCAAGCAAGAGUACACCUGUCAUGUGUGCAGUUUCGAUAAUACAAUGUAUAAAAAAUAAGUAUAAAUUUUGUUAAUCAUUCUAAAAUUAUCAUUUUGUUCAUUGACCAUCAGAUUGUGAAAGAUGUAUGAUACAUAUCUUAAUGGAUUUAUAGACUAUUCAAUUAUUAAUAGAGUGUAAAAUGCAAGAUUUUGAUAUUUUCUUACAGAAAUUGAUUAGUUAAUUAUCUAGCAUUAACAAACUAUAGUAGAAGGCUUAAAAGUGGAUGUAAAUGCAUACUUUGAUCUGAAUUUUAAGGGGUUUUUUGGGGUUUUUUUUUUUUUAAUUUUCAACUCCUGACAGUAUAUACAACAGUCAGUUAUAGAAAGCAACGUUUGUAUUUUUCAUGUUCAGGUUGGUAAUUGUAUUGCUAUAUGAUCUAUAGAUUGUAACUCUAUAUGAUAGGUCUGCAUUUUUUCUUUCUUGUGAAAAUACAUGUACAUGUCAUUUACAAUUUGUAUAAACUUAAUGCAUUAUCUGUGCUGUUUAUAUUUUUUUAUGACAUGCUUUUACUUACUGAGUUCAAUAUGAAGGACUGUAUAUAAGGUAUCUUUAACAUGUUUGGGAAAAUUUCUGUAUAAGGUCAGACGGCACGUUCCUCGAGAAUCUUUUUUGUAUCUCCUCAUAAUAAAGAGUUCCAAUUAAAAAUAUUAAUUUCAUGAUUAUUAUAAAAAUUAUUAAAAUUCAAGUGAUUGAGGUUAUGUGUCUAAAUGGCCGAGUGGUUAGAACCGUGGCCGCUCACUGCCAGAAGUGUAUAGGUUCUAGAAGUCGUGAGUUUAAAGCCCCACCCCGGCCGAGAUAGAGUUUCAAUACAGUGAAUUUUGCUGUGCUGUGUAUGUAUUUGUUUUUAUAUCAGCAAUUCAAGUGUAUUUUCAAGAAGAUUAUAUAGGAAAUUGCAUACUCUAGUAUUUUGCAGAAAUGCCUGGUAAGGUACCCUAAUUUUUUGCAAGAAAGCUUGUCAAAGUAGUAGUAAACCAACAAAUUCCUGGGAAAAGUUAUACAAAAUUGAGGAAUGUGUCGUCUGACCUUAAUACGUUAAUCAUUUGUACUAUUUAUUUGCAAACUCUAAUUUGGCCUAUUUCUUAAAGUAAUUUUAUAUAAGCCCUGAUGAGAAAAUUACAUGUGAAAUUAGACAAGAAGUUCUGUAUAUAUAGCUUCUUUUCAUGUAUCAUACAUCUAUUUUACAAACAAAAAUCAUAAUUUUAAUGAAGAGGAGUUUAUGAAAAGCUGUUUUUAAAUUGUCUUUUAUGUAUCACAGCUUCUUUAAAAAUCUGUUAUACACUGUACGUACAAAAAAUAUCCAGAGUAACUUGGAGAAAAUUAUUUAUUUACUAUUUCAACAUUUUUGAUAGCUGAAUCUUGAAGUUGUGCAUGUAGUUUAUGUGUUAGAGAUAAGCCCUCCUUUGUUGUAUUUCUUCAUGUUUUACAAUCAUCUUGCUUGUGUUACGUGCAUGUACUGUGUUAUAUUCUGAUCUUUUACAUGGACUAUACAACACUUGAAAAUGUGAAAGACAUGAUUUUUAUAUUGAUGGGCUGUAUUGCUGUGCUUUUUUUUUUUUUAGCAAACCAUUAUAUUAAUAAGUUAUGAAUUACAUGUAUUAGUUUGUUACUAUAUUAUGAAAGCUGAAUGGAAUUAUUUUUUGAUUUAUUAUAACUUUUGGCUUUAGAUUUAUAACUAAUAUUGAAAGUUUUGUAUGUACAUAUGUAUUACUAAGGCCACACCAAUAUACCCGGUAAUUUCUUGUUCAUCAGACAUCCAAUUAAAGAGGUACACGCUGGUGAGCGAUUGCUUGAUAACAUUAAAAAUUUUUGUAGGCAACAUAUUUGGGCAGUACAUAAAUAAAUUUGUGCUGGUGAUUAUAUUUUUUCUGCUUGUUUCUAAUAUAUGAAUAAAUAUGAUUUAAAAUGCCAAAAAAUAAAGCAGAUUUAGAGCAGAAAACAGUGCAGAAUUUCCUGGAUGCGGGAAAUCAUAAUGAUAUUAUUUUUAAAUUAGUUUUUAUUUGAAUACAAUCGUGUGGGUCAGACGAACAAAAAAUUAUAUUGGUGUGGCCUAACAUAACUUCUUAAUAUAAAGAAUUAAUUAGUUUACAUAGACUGUGCUUAUAAGUACUAUGAAAUAUGUAUCAUAAACACUAAUAAAUCAGCAAGAAUUUAAUCAGAA